GAAGUAUCUGACGUAGGUUGUAAGAGGGAGAAGUGAAACCCACAGGAGAAGGGGACUCCUCAGUCCUGCACUGAAGGAACCACCCACCUGAACCCAGGUAACACAAGCAAUUCCAUCUUUGUGCUCCAGGGGGACUGCAAGUGAUCAAGAUCAUAUCUGAAGGACUUCUGGCCAAGAUGGAGGCAUAGAAAGAGGGGAAGGGAGGAAGAGAUGGAGAGAAACAUCUAUGUGUGGUUACAUCUCCCGCACUCCCUAAUGGGCAUCUGGCUCAAAACCCAGCCAUGCAGCAUUCACCUGCGCACCUGACGACAUCAUCAGACAUUUAAACUGCACACAAGGAGGAUCUGUCACACUGUCACUGCUCACUGUCAUUCCAGCAAAGGCCUUGCUUUGGAAGUCUUCUCCUCUGACUCAGCCUUGCAGACUCAGAAACUGGCUGAGCAGUAACAGACAGCACGAGCCCCGGACUAAGUUGCCCUCUGGUCUCAAUUCUGGUGACCCAGAUGUUGAAGAGUUUCCCUUGGGGCAGCCUCUCACCAUGUAUGGACCCCACCAGGUGUUGAGCCUGCUGGAGCAAAAGGGAAAUUCGUGGCUCAGUGCUGGAAGAAUGGGCAGGUACCAGGCUAUUCCUCUCGACCACUCCAAUGUCUCCCUCAGAACAGUGACUAAGCUAAACCCUGCCUCUCUUCUCCCAAGGCCUGACUUGGCUGUGCUAAUACAUGACUGAGCUGAGAUCACUGAUUCUUCUAGCAGAAUUGAUGUACAGGACCAUCCUGUAGAAGAAACAGACUGGACUCUCUGUGCAGAUGGAAGCAGUUAUAUGGACACAGGAAACAUAGAGGCUGGGUAUGCAGUAGUGAGGUUUGAAGGAGGAGUGGAGGCCCAGGACUUGCUGCCAGGAACCUCUGUUCAGAAAGCUGCACUGAUUGCAUUGAGGAAGAUGCUGGAAUUGUCACAAGAAAAGAGAGUGAAUGGGUGUGCCUCCUCGAGGUACACUGUCCUGAUUUGGCUUGCACAUGGUUCCAUCUGGAAGGAAAGAGGACUAUUAACCUCCAGUAAAAAGGAGAUUAAGCAUGCAGCAGAAGUUUAAAAACUAUUAGGGAAUCCUCAGGUACCUUUACUGGAGGCAGUCAUGCACUGCCCAGGACAUUAGAAAGAGGACACUGAAGUGGGUAGAGGAAACAUUCUGGCUGAUGGAGCAGCAAAGGAGGCUGCUAAAGGAACACUUACAAUGCUUUUGGUACCUCUUCUAGACUUGUCAGAAUUUCACCUUGAAUAUUCGACUGCAGACUUAGAGAAAGACUGGAGUUGGGGUUUUGAUGAAGAAGGUCCUGACAGGAGAUGGAGAGAGAAUAAGAAAGGAGUCACACUGUUUCCUGAACAUUUAGUAGAGCCAGUCAUAAAGCAUUUGCAUGAGGCUACACACUGUGGAAGAGACUCAUUAACCACCUAUGUCAAGCUGUGGCUCACAGGUCCUGGAAUUUCUAAGGCCAAGGAAAAGUAAUUGCUGGGUGUGUUGUGUGCCAGAAGUACAGCCCCAAGACAGAUCCCCAGCAAAAGAACGAAGGGAAAUAAUACCAGAGAAAGAGCCCAUUUGAGGACUGGCUGAUAGACUUUACUCAGAUGUCAAGGGUCCAAGGGUGGAAAUAUUUGCUAGUCUUUGUUGAAACCUUUUCCAAGAUGGAUAGAAGCUUAUCCUACUAGAAUAGAGAAAUUCUUGGGGGGGAGCAAAAGCUUUAUUGAAGGAAAUAAUCCCUCACUUUGGCCUCGCUGGCAGCAUCCAGAUCAAUAAUGGACCUGCUUUUGUUUCAGAAAUUACACAGGAGGUUAGUACAUUUUUAGGAAUCUAGUGGAGACUCCACACAGCAUGGAGACCUCAGGCUUCUGGGAAAGUAGAAAAGGUGAAUCACACCUUGAAGAAAAAUGUGGCCAUGUUAUGUGAAGAAACUCAUGUCCAUUGGGAUCAAGCUUUGCCUAUUACCCUGCUCAGGAUAAGGGUGACUCCUCAAAGUGGGAUUCGGCUGAGUUUUUAUGAGAGUGUUUAUGGGCGACUAUUUCAGGCUAUGAUUGGGGUGGGAGACAUAAAUACUGAUGAAGAAAUGAAGGUAAAGUAUAAGUACAACAUUUAAGUCAGAACUUAGCUGUAACUAAUGACAUUUAUUGUGUUAGGGAUCUCUGCCCUGCAGGUUCCCUACAUUCCACUGAGUCUGGAGAUAAGGUGGUACUUGGACCUUGGAUGACAGGAUCACCAGAGAGCUUACUACAAGAAAAGAGGGCUGGACUUUGGGACUUACUCCUUACCAGUCCCACCUCAAUGAUGUCAGCCUUGGACUGAACCUUGGACUCUUGACACCAGAAAGGAAAGAGCUGGAAUAAUGAUGGACUAGUGAACCACAGGAAGACCUAAAAUCAUCUUUUGAUAGCCAUGGCUUAUAUUCUUUUCAUUAAUUUUUAUUUGCUGACAGGAAAAAUGGUUGUCAGCUCUGGGAAGCUCUCUGGCUGCCUUGGGGAGACACACCUUUGCCAGAAUCCUGGUUUUCCUCUGAGAGCUUCCAUUCCAUCCAGACAACAAGUGCUGUCAGGUGUCAGCUGCCCCUUGACUCUCCUUGAGGGAGAAGCUCAGGUUCAUUUGGGAGAGUGUUCGCCAGUUCACCACACCUCAGUCAUCACAGGUUCUGUGUCUCUCAUUCUCUUAAGUGAACUUACUGUUCCAUGAAGAAGAGGCUGGCUCAGCCCUCACAGGUCACUUUCCUGGGCUCAUGACACUUGGGGAUGAAUGUAGCAGAGUGUGUUUGUGCACUUUCCUGGUCAUCAUGGGAUAUAUUUUACUUUUUAAUUCUCCAUUUUCACUAAGGACAGUUAAGAAAUUAAUCCAUUUGUAUAAUGAAUUCAAGAUAUACCUAUCUUCUUUUAAAAUAUUUUUUAUUUUUCAAUUACAGUUGAUCUACAAUAUUAAGUCGGGUUCUGUACAACUCUGUAUUUACAUAUUUAUGUAAGUUACAAACUGAUCACCCCAAUAAA